GCUGGGUGUGGUGGUGCAUGCCUGUAAUCCCAGCUACUCAGGAGGCUGAGGCAGGAGAAUCACUUGAACCCAGGAGGUAGAGGUUGCAGUGAGCCAAGAUCAUGCCACUGCACUCCAGCCUGGGUGACAGAGGGAGACUCUGUCUCAA
rnacentral:sRNA from 1 species